CUCUAGUGAUGUGGGGGCUGUGCUUUGGCAAAGUGGGUGGGGUUAUAUCCUGCCUGUUUGGCCCUGUCUGCGGGUAUCACCGGACGGGGCCACAGUGUCUCCCGACCCCUCCUGUCUCAGCCUCCAGUAUUUAUGCUGCAGUAGUUUAUGUGUCGGGGGGCUAGGGUCAGUCUGUUAUAUCUGGAGUAUUUCUCCUGUCUUAUCCUGUGUCCUGUGUGAAUUUAAGUUUGCUCCCUCUAAUUCUCUCCCUCUCCCUCUCCCUCCCCUCCUGGAGGACCUGAGCCUAGGACCAUGCCUCAGGGAUACCUGGCCUGAUGACUCCUUGCUGUCCCCAGUCCACCUGGUUGUGCUGCUGCUCCAGUUUCAACUGUUCUGCCUGCGGCUAUGGAACCCUGACCUGUUCACCGGACGUGCUAUCUGUCCCAGACCUGCUGUUUUCAACUCUCUAGAGACAGCAGGAGCGGUAGAGAUACUCUGAAUGAUCAGCUAUGAAAAGCCAACUGACAUUUACUGAGGUGCUGACCUGUUGCACCCUCGACAACCACUGUGAUUAUUAUUAUUUGACCAUGCUGGUCAUCUAUGAACAUUUGAACAUCUUGGCCAUGUUCUGUUAUAAUCUCCACUCGGCACAGCCAGAAGAGGACUGGCCACCCCUCAUAGCCUGGUUCCUCUCUAGGUUUCUUCCUAGGUUCUGGCCUUUCUAGGGAGUUUUUCCUAUCCACCGUGCUUCUACACCUGCAUUGCUUGCUGUUUGGGGUUUUAGGCUGGGUUUCUGUACAGCACUUUGAGAUAUCAGCUGAUGUAAGAAGGGCUAUAUAAAUACAUUUGAUUUGAUUGACAUACAAAUGAUAAGACACACACUCUACACACACGUACACAUGUUGGUCUGAGGUAAAACACUAAAUGUAUUGUAGUUAUGUGGUCUGAGGUAACACACUAAAUGUAUUGUAGAUAUGUGGUCUGACGUAAAACACUAAAUGUAUUGUAGAUAUGUGGUCUGACGUAAAACACUAAAUGUAUUGUAGAUAUGAGGUAACACACUAAAUGUAUUGUAGAUAUGUGGUAGUAGUGGUCUGAGGUAACACACUAAAUGUAUUGUAGAUAUGUGGUCUGAGCUAAAACACUAAAUGUAUUGUAGAUAUGUGGUCUGACGUAAAACACUAAAUGUAUUGUAGAUAUGAGGUAACACACUAAAUGUAUUGUAGAUAUGUGGUAGUAGUGGUCUGAGGUAACACACUAAAUGUAUUGUAGAUAUGUGGUAGUAGUGGUCUGAGGUAAAACACUAAAUGUAUUGUAGAUAUGUGGUAGUAGUGGUCUGAGGUAACACACUAAAUGUAUUGUAGAUAUGAGGUCUGAGGUAAAACACUAAAUGUAUUGUAGAUCUGUGGUCUGAGGUAACACACUAAAUGUAUUGUAGAUAUGUGGUCUGUGGUAACACACUAAAUGUAUUGUAGAUAUGUGGUCUGAGGUAACACACUAAAUGUAUUGUAGAUAUGUGGUAGUAGUGGUCUGAGGUAACACACUAAAUGUAUUGUAGAUAUGUGGUAGUAGUGGUCUGAGAUAAUACACUAAAUGUAUUGUAGAUAUGUGGUCUGAGGUAACACACUAAAUGUAUUGUAGAUAUGUGGUAGUAGAGGUCUGAGGUAACACACUAAAUGUAUUGUAAAAAGUGUUAUGAAAUGUAAUGUCAUGUUAUAUUAUUUGAUGUAUAUAACUUCCUUAAUGUUUCUGGUCCCCAGGGUUUCCUUUAUAAAUACAAAUUCUUGUAUUAAUCAAAUCUUCGCUAAUGAUGCAGAGUUUUGCCUAUAAAGCAAUGCCAUUUUCCGUUGGCAGUAGUCACCGUACAUGGUGACAAUAACAAAGAAGAGCCAAAGGUUUGUAACUUAUAAUUCAUAGAUCAUACAAAGUGUUUUCUCAGGACUCUUUUUGAAGAUGUAAAACGUGUAUGUUGAUUUGAUGUGUAUGAGGAAGUGAAUCUAGACGCAGCACUGGAAAAUUCUAAAAUUAUUCUUGACAAUUGUUGACAAGCAUGCACCUGUUAAGAAACUUAACUCAAAUCAAAUUUUAUUGGUCACAUACACAUAUUUAGCAGAUGUUAUUGCGGGUGUAGUGAAAUGCUUGUGUUUCUAGCUCCAACAGUGCAGUAAUAUCUAACAAUUCACAACAAUACACACAAAUCUAAAAGUAAAAUAAUGGAAUAUUUAAAUAUUAGGAUGAGCAAUGUCGGAGUGGUAUUGACUAAAAUACAGUAGAAUAGAAAACAGUAUGUACAUACGAGACGAUUAAAGCAGUAUGUAAACUUUAUUAAAGUACUAGUGUUUGUAACGUCCGUCUGAAGGAGUAGACCGAGGUUUAAUGCUCAUCAUGUAUUUAUUUUGAUCUUAACACUGAAACAAAGAAACCAAUAACGACCAGCCAAACAGUUCUGUCAGGUAUGUAAUACAAAACAGAAAUUAACCACCCACCAAAACACAACGAGAAAACCCCUACAUAAAUAUGGACUCUAAUCAGAGGCAAUGAGAUUCAGCUGCCUCCAAUUAGAGAUCAACCCCAAACAAUUCCAACAUAGAAACAGAAA
rnacentral:lncRNA from 1 species